rnacentral:tRNA from 1 species
GUGUCCGUAGCUCAGUCGGAUAGAGCAACAGCCUUCUAAGCUGUGGGUCGUAGGUUCAAAUCCUAUCGGACACA